rnacentral:rRNA from 1 species
CGGCGGACGGGUGAGUAAUGUCUGGGAAACUGCCCGAUGGAGGGGGAUAACUACUGGAAACGGUAGCUAAUACCGCAUAACGUCGCAAGACCAAAGAGGGGGACCUUCGGGCCUCUUGCCAUCGGAUGUGCCCAGAUGGGAUUAGCUAGUAGGUGGGGUAACGGCUCACCUAGGCGACGAUCCCUAGCUGGUCUGAGAGGAUGACCAGCCACACUGGGACUGAGACACGGCCCAG